rnacentral:rRNA from 1 species
AAUCAACGCUGGCGGCGUGCCUCAGACAUGCAAGUCGAACGAUUAAAGCUCUCUUCGGAGAGUGUAUAGAGUGGCGCACGGGUGAGUAACACGUAAGUAAUCUACCCUCGAGUGGGGGAAUAACAACCGGAAACGGUUGCUAAUACCGCAUAAUGCAGCGGCACCGCAAAGGUGACAGUUGUUAAAGAUUUAUCCGCUUGAGGAGGAGCUUGCGGCAGAUUAGCUAGUUGGUAGGGUAACGGCUUACCAAGGCUACGAUCUGUAACCGGUCUAAGAGGACGGUCGGUCACACUGACACUGAAUAACGGGGUCAGACUCCUACGGGAGGCAGCAGUCGGGAAUUUUGGGCAAUGGGCGAAAGCCUGACCCAGCAACGCCGCGUGGAAGGAUGAAGUAUUUCGGUAUGUAAACUUCGAAAGAAUAGGAAGAAUUAAUGACGGUACUAUUUAUAAGGUCCGGCUAACUACGUGCCAGCAGCCGCGGU